rnacentral:rRNA from 1 species
UACGGAGGGUGCAAGCGUUGCUCGGAAUUAUUGGGCGUAAAGGGUAGGUAGGUGGUCUCAUUUGUCUGGGGUGAAAGCCUUGAGCUUAACUCAAGAAGUGCCCCAGAAACGGUGAGACUAGAGUCUUGGAGAGGGUCGUGGAAUUCCCGGUGUAGCGGUGAAAUGCGUAGAGAUCGGGAGGAACACCAGUGGCGAAGGCGGCGACCUGGACAAGUACUGACACUCAACUACGAAAGCGUGGGGAGCAAACAGG